AUUGAACGCUGGCGGCAGGCCUAACACAUGCAAGUCGUACGAGUGGCGGACGGGUGAGUAAUGUAUGGGGAUCUGCCUGAUGGAGGGGGAUAACUACUGGAAACGGUAGCUAAUACCGCAUACCAUCAGAUGUACCCAUAUGGGAUUAGCUAGUAGGUAAGGUAACGGCUUACCUAGGCGACGAUCCCUAGCUGGUCUGAGAGGAUGAGCAGCAACACUGGGACGGGGACACGGCCCAGACUCCUACGGGAGGCAGCAGUGGGGAAUAUUGCACAAUGGGGGCAAGCCUGAUGCAUCCAUGCCGCGUGUAGGAAGAAGGCCUUCGGGUUGUAAAGUACUUUCAGUCGGGAGGCGUUACCGACAGAAGAAGCACCGGCUAACUCCGUGCCAGCUGCCGCGGUAAUUC
rnacentral:rRNA from 1 species